rnacentral:tRNA from 1 species
GGGGUUGUGGCUCAGUAGUAGAGCGCUCGCCUCCCAUGUGAGAGACCCUGGGUUCGAUCCUCAGCACCACA